rnacentral:misc_RNA from 1 species
AAGUCGUAACAAGGUUUCCGUAGGUGAACCUGCGGAAGGAUCAUUAAUAAUUUUUUUCAUCUAAUGAUGAAUAAAAAAUUAACCUUGUGUGCAAACAUUGCUUUGAAAGGAAGAAGGUGAAUACCUUCAUCCUAAAAACAAAAACACAUCAUCAAACUUUUAUGUAAAAACAAAAUAUAUUUAUAAUAAAAUACAACUUUCAACAACGGAUCUCUUGGCUCUC